rnacentral:rRNA from 1 species
AACGAACGCUGGCGGCGUGCUUAACACAUGCAAGUCGAACGGAAAGGCCCUGCUUUUGUGGGGUGCUCGAGUGGCGAACGGGUGAGUAACACGUGAGUAACCUGCCCUUGACUUUGGGAUAACUUCAGGAAACUGGGGCUAAUACCGGAUAGGAGCUCCUGCUGCAUGGUGGGGGUUGGAAAGUUUCGGCGGUUGGGGAUGGACUCGCGGCUUAUCAGCUUGUUGGUGGGGUAGUGGCUUACCAAGGCUUGGACGGGUAGCCGGCCUGCGAGGGGGACCGGCCAAGUUGGGACUGAGAUACGGCCCAGACCACUACGGGAGGCAGCGGAGGAGAAGAGUGUAUAAUGGGCGGAAGCCUGAUGCAGCAACGCCGCGUGCGGGAAGACGGCCAUCGGGUUGUAAACCGCUUUCGCCUGUGACGAAGCGUGAGUGACGGUAAUGGGUAAAGAAGCACCGGCUAACUACGUG